UGGGGAAUUUUGCGCAAUGGGCGAAAGCCUGACGCAGCAACGCCGCGUGGGUGAUGAAGGUCUUCGGAUCGUAAAACCCUGUCGUCAGGGACGAAGGUUGCAUGUCUAACAGAUGUGCAACUUGACGGUACCUGGAGAGGAAGCCCCGGCUAACUCUGUGCCAGCAGCCGCGGUAAUACAGAGGGGGCAAGCGUUAUUCGGAAUUAUUGGGCGUAAAGGGCGCGUAGGCGGUGUUUUAAGUGAGAUGUGUAAUCCCCGAGCUUAACUUGGGAACUGCAUCUCAGACUGGAGCGCUAGAGUACUGGAGAGGGUGGUAGAAUUCCACGUGUAGCGGUGAAAUGCGUAGAGAUGUGGAGGAAUACCGGUGGCGAAGGCGGCCGCCUGGACAGUAACUGACGCUGAGGCGCGAAAGUGUGGGUAGCAAACA
rnacentral:rRNA from 1 species